rnacentral:piRNA from 1 species
UGGCCAGUUAAAUUAAUUUCUAAAUGGUC